rnacentral:tRNA from 1 species
AGGGGUGUAGCUCAGUGGCACAGUGUCUGCCUGGCAAGUACAAGGUCCUGAGUUCAAUCCCCAGUACCACAC